UGCGAGUGAAGCGGCAAAAGCUCAAAUUUGAAAUCUGGCGCCUUCGGCGUCCGAGUUGUAAUUUGGAGGGGCAUCUUCGGGUUUGGCGCCGUCCUAAGUUCCUUGGAACAGGACGUCACAGAGGGUGAGAAUCCCGUGCCUGGGCGGCAGUCCAAAUCCAUGUGAAGUGUCUCCGACGAGUCGAGUUGUUUGGGAAUGCAGCUCAAAAUGGGUGGUAAAUUUCAUCUAAAGCUAAAUAUUGGCGAGAGACCGAUAGCGCACAAGUAGAGUGAUCGAAAGAUGAAAAGCACUUUGAAAAGAGAGUUAAAAAGUACGUGAAAUUGUUGAAAGGGAAGCGCUUGCGACCAGACUCGGUCUUUGGGGGUCAUCCGGGUUUCGGCUCGGUGCCAUCCCCAUUGAUCGGGCCAGCAUCGGUUCCGGCGGCGGGAUAAAAGGCGAGGGAAUGUGGCUCUCUUCGGGGAGUGUUAUAGCCCUCGUCACAAUGCCGCCAGCUGGGACCGAGGACCGCGCUUCGGCUAGGAUGCUGGCGUAAUGGUCUUAAGCGACCCGUCUUGAAACACGGACCAAGGAGUCUAACAUCUAUGCGAGUGUUCGGGUGGAAAACCCUUGCGCGUAAUGAAAGUGAACGGAGGUGGGAACCCUUCGGGGUGCACCAUCGACCGGUCCUGAUGUCUUCGGAAGGAUCUGAGUAAGAGCAUAGCUGUUGGGACCCGAAAGAUGGUGAACUAUGCCUGAAUAGGGUGAAGCCAGAGGAAACUCUGGUGGAGGCUCGCAGCGGUUCUGACGUGCAAAUCGAUCGUCAAAUUUGGGUAUAGGGGCGAAAGACUAAUCGAACCAUCUAGUAGCUGGUUCCUGCCGAAGUU
rnacentral:rRNA from 1 species